GACGAGCGCUGGCGGUGUGCUUAACACAUGCAAGUCGAACGGUAAGGCCCUUUCGGGGGUACACGAGUGGCGAACGGGUGAGUAACACGUGAGUAACCUGCCCUCAUCUCUGGGAUAACAGUCGGAAACGGUUGCUAAUACUGGAUAUGAGCUUGCAAGGCAUCUUGUGGGUUGGAAAGAUUUUUUGGUUGGGGAUGGACUCGCGGCCUAUCAGCUUGUUGGUGAGGUAGUGGCUCACCAAGGCUUCGACGGGUAGCCGGCCUGAGAGGGCGACCGGCCACAUUGGGACUGAGAUACGGCCCAGACUCCUACGGGGAGGCAGCAGUGGGGGAAAUAUUGCACAAAUGGGACGGGAAAGUUCUGAUGCAAGCAAACCGCCCUCCG
rnacentral:rRNA from 2 species